rnacentral:misc_RNA from 1 species
GACGGCGCAGAAGGGGAGUAGCUCUUCGCCGGACCGUCGACAUACUGCUCAGCUCGUCUGAGCCGGCGCCCGGAGGCAGGUUCCGUGGAAGCGGAACCCGCCAGCGAGACCUUCGGCAAAGCA